AAAAAAAUUUAUUUUGCGCCAUUUCAACUUCUUCACAUGUUUUUAAAUAAGCAUGUUAUGAAAUUGUGAAAAUUACAAGUAUGCAAUUAUCUCAAACUUGUUAUUCUAAGUUUUAUACACUUGAUAAAAAGAAUUUGCACAAUAAUUGCAGAUUGGUAGAAGAAUUUAAGAAAUUGAAUACAUUGGGUGAAGGGACCUAUGGUGUUGUUUUCAAAGCGCUAGAUCUGAAAAAUAAUAAAUUAGUUGCAUUAAAAAAUAUGAGAAAAUACAAUAAUUCUCGUAAUAGCUCACAUGAAAUACCAUUGAAUUCUCUAAGAGAAAUAUCCAUUCUUCUCUCCUUAAGUAAGGAGAAUUCACAUCCAAAUAUUGUUCAUUUGUCAGACAUCGCUCUAGGAAAAAACCUUGAUAACAUCUAUCUUGUUAUGGAAUAUUGUGAACAGGAUUUAGCAAAUUUAUUAGACCACAUGCAAAAGCCAUUUACUGAAGCUCAAGUUAAAUGUAUAAUUCUCCAAGUUUUUAGUGGAUUACAAUUUUUGCAUUCAAAAUUUAUCUUGCAUCGGGAUAUUAAAGUAUCAAAUUUAUUGAUUAACGAUUUUGGAUGUGUCAAGAUAGCUGAUUUUGGCUUAGCUCGUAAAUUUGGACUUCCAUGUUUAAAACCAUUGACUCCAAAUGUUGUCACUCUUUGGUAUAGAGCUCCUGAAUUAUUAUUUGGUGCAGAAGUUCAAGCAACUGCUAUUGAUAUUUGGGCUGCAGGAUGUAUAUUUGGUGAGUUGUUAUUACAUAAACCUAUGAUGCCUGGAAAAUCUGAAAUUCAACAAAUAAACAUGAUAAUCGAUUUAUUGGGUACACCCAAUGAAAAAAUCUGGACUGGGUUUAACAAAUUGCCUCUAGUUAAAGAUUUCAAAUUAAAAUCUCAGAACUAUAAUAAUAUUAAAUAUCUUUUUGAUUGGAUAUCAGACAAUGGAAUAAGUUUACUUAAUGGUCUUUUUAUGUAUGAUCCUUGUAGAAGGGAAAUUUAUGUUCACGCCAUGGCCCAUCGUGUCACGCAUAAUUUCAUGGCCCGUGCCCACCACUAAUUGAAUUUACUUACACUGUAUCCGAAGAAAAAACGGUUUUAAUAACUUUUAAUUUGUCAUCAAGAUGAAAACAUAAAAUGUAAACCCACAGCGUAUAUGGCAAGGGUGAUGAUUGAUAAUCUGAAUUAGCCUUAUGGUAAAGAUUGGUAUGACUAGGUCUUCUAUAGAUAAAUAACUGCAAAAGACGCUCUUAACAAUCCUUAUUUUUAUGAGACACCUUAUCCUUGUAAACCGGAAUUUAUGCCUACUUUUCCUCAUUUACGUGAUAAAUAAUAUUCCUAGCAUAACUUUAAUUAUCAAUAGUUAGUUAAUAAUUUCACCCAGAUUCAGUUCUAUGAAAAAUUAUAAUUUUUUUUAUUCUUAUCAAUAACUUGUUACUUCUAUUACAAUUUUUUAAUUAAAUUGUAAUCUAUAUAUAUUUAUUAUUACUUCUCUGUUAAAUUUAGUUAUUUCUUUUAUAUUUUAAAAAACAUUCCCAUGUAUAAAUAAUAAAUCCAUCGGCAUAAUUAUCGGGUAUAUUUUAAGCAGGAAAGAGUACCCGAAUCCUGGAAAUUUUUCUAGAACCCUUUUUUGAAUUUUAGGAUUCAGGAAUUGUUUUUUUUAUAUUUUCAAUAGUAAUAACAUUUUUUUUAUGUAAAUCAUUUUAUAUUAUAUGUAAAAAAAAUUUACCUCUACAUUUUGUAAAAUUUUUUAGAAAUAUCUAUUGUUGUUUAGAUUUUUUUAAAUAAUUUUUUUAUUUUACAAAAAAAAAUAAUUAAUUAAAUUUAAGUAGGGCUGCACCAAUAUUCCGAUCCAAAGCAUGGACUGAUUUUAUUUGCUGCUAUCAAACCCUCCUUAAGAUAUUUUUGUUUGAUAACUAAAAAAAAGUAUAACUACAAUAAUAAAAAAUCUCACUUUUAUUACUAGUUAAUUUCUUAAACUUUUCUAAUACCAUAAUAAAAAUAAUUAAUAAAACGUCUUCUCAAUCUUAUUAGUACUAAUUUCUUAAAUCUAAUAAAAAUAAUUUCUGUAUACAAACAAAAUUCUUUAUUUCAAUAAAAAUAAUUUCCAGUUCUUUACUAAAACUAUUUUAAAAAAAUGUAAAGUCAUAAAUCAAUAAAAAAUAAUAAUUAUCACAAAAUUUUAUAUUCGAAUCAUUAUUUUUAUAAUUCUUUUUUAACCAAUCAACAAUAAAUGUACUAAUUAUAAAUUAUACAAUCAUUAAUAAUAAAUUAUA